GCCGCUGUUUCGGUUCAGCCGUUCCUUCUUCGUUUGGUAAGCGUCUCGAUCUGAAAGCCCUCUAGUUACUGCUUCAUUAUACGUUGAGGUGUUGUAGCAUUCGUUGUUAUGAGAGUUAAUCUCGGGUAUUAUAUGUUGUGAUUAGAGUGGUUGUGGUUGCUGAGAAAGCGGGUUGGAGCUGAGGUUUUGACUGUAGUUGAUUCGGGUCAAUACGAAAGGAGUCAGUUAGCGAGUUUGGGUUGUGAUUUCAACGUAUCGAGGUUAUUCCUUUUCAGGAUAUGGAAGGCGAAGCUUUAGGAGAGUUAUGUUUAUUUUCUGUUUAUUCGGUCUUUUUGUAUCACCGUAGCUAUUAUUUUUCCCUCACCUUUAUCUUUAUGAAGCUUGUAAGAGGGAUAGAAAAUUAUGAUAUGUAUAAUUGUAAACUAGUGUUAUGUAUAUGUAUAUAUAUAUCUUAAGGUUAUAUCUGAAUUGUAUGUACAUGUAUGUUUAGGUUUUCACGAAAAAGAGUUAUCGAAGUGUUAUGCGGUUUUAAGUUUUAAACAGGCUCAUAUUUUAGUCUUAAAUAUUAUAAAAGUCGUGGUAAUACUCGAGCUAUCAGA